CCAUGGGCUGCAGGCCGUUAGCAGUUUUGAGUCAGCCAGGACAGGUGGCCUGAGCUGGCUCACAGGUGUACCCCAUACCAUGAGCAUUACACUCAGUACAAAGGAGCUUUCUGAGGAGAGGGGAGCAUCUUACUUGGACUUCUUCUGACCCUGCUUCCCUGAUCCUGAGGGCUGUGUUCCUGUUUUGUGUGUCUGUUGCACAUUAGUGGUCAUUGUUGUUGAGCUGUCAGAGAUUGUGAUCAGACUACAGACUUCCCCCCGUCCCCAUUGUCUGCACAAGAGUGUAAAUCUGUACUUUACUUCAAGAUCCUUAUGAACAGCCCCAGUGCUUUCUUCUGCUGUUCUGGGUAACCUGUGUGUAUUUCAGCCUUGCUUGAGGCCAACAGGAGAAUUUGCAGUGGACUCACCGAGAGAAAGCCUUGACUUGGGUUGAGUAGAGCUGACAUCUGGAUCCACAACAACCACUUCAUCCAGUGUUUCUCUAGCUGUUCUCUCCAUCAUGCAAUAGGCACCCUCUGCUUCUCCCACAUAUUCUGGCUUGUGACAGAUGCACUUCUCUGGUAAAAGAAGGUGGAACAUAUUUAUGAGAAAAGCAGACAUGGUCUGAAUGCUUCAGAGGAUCAUCUUAGCAGAUGAUAAUUCAUUUCCUACCAUCAGUCAGUGCCUGGAAUUACCUGCUUUUGGAGGAGAAUGCCAGGAUGAUGUCACCCAGAGGCCACAGGGAAAUAAUGCAGUACAAAUGGGAAAUUGCAUUUCCCUUGCUUGAGUGCCUCUGCCGCUAUUUGUUGGAGUAGGUUUUGCAAUAAGAUUUUGUGCCCUUUCCAGUGGUUCUGCUGCACCCAAAGAAUAUGCAUGGUGAAAAGCACAGCAAGUCUUGAGCUGCACCAAUGCUGUUUGCAAUCACAGAGUCACUCACUGAGCCAGGGGCACAGUAAGUGGCUUUAGAGUCUCCAUUUUCCAUGCUUUGCACUGCAUAUGGCUCCCAUACUAGUGGAGAGCCUGUGUGGAGUAGCAGACAUCCUCCUUCUCCCUGGCAUUCCAGGCCCACAGUAGGUGGCUUUAGAGUCUUCCUUUUCUGUGCUUUGCACUGCACAUGGCUCCCAUUCUAGCAGAGAGCCCAUGAGGGGCAGCAGACAUCCUGCUUUUCCCUGGCAUUCCAGGCCCUAGGCAUUCCUGCUGUUGUUAGUCCACCUUGAUGCCAAAAGAAAGCUUGCUGGAUCCAGCUGCAAUCACCCAUUUGCAGUCUAUCUCUGUGGUGCCAUAUCUACAGUUAUCACCUAUCUGUGUGUCCAUAUCUACAAUUAAUCCUUGUCUACACCUGCCAUUCACUCACUGGCAGCUGAUGCCCUACGAUAUGGCCUGACAGGGGGCAAGCUGUCUUUCCAUAGUUUCAGGUCAGGGCAGGUUGACUGGAUUUUGUCUUCCCAUAGAAGUGGUACCUUUCCUUCUCUCUCCUGGGUGCUUUACUGAAGAAGCCACACCAAUACCUUGGAGAAACAGGGUUCGGUCAUGUACAGGUGAGCUCUUUGUGGGUUGCCUGUUGCCCCAUUUCCCUUGUUGGGAAAAGUGCUGCCCAUUGGGACCACUCUGCAAGAUACUCCUGAAGGUGCUUGCUUUUAUGCUGAAGACAAAUGGAGCAGAGUCUAAAUUCAGUUUAAAACUCUUCUUAUUCUAAUGCCACAUCUCACAUUCCUCCAAAACAGGAGUAAAGAUGGUGCUUCUUGGGGAACUGAACAACCUCAGCUUUGUUUUGCUCUUUUCUAACCCCAAAUCUCUUCUCUACGAGACAACAACAAUGUGCUGGCAUUGUCAUAGUCAUCGCAGGCUGGGGCUAGCAUACACAAGGCUACCCUGUUUUGUGACCUUCCUUGUCUCAUGGGAGAUUUGAGAUUUAAAUGCUCACUUGGUCUGUACCUCCUUCUUUGAGACUGACUAGCCUGAGUCACUUCUGAGAAACUAUUAGCAGAGUCUCAAACACAGUUAAGGUCCUAUCAGUUUAAUUAAAGUAGAUCAUUUGACAGAGAAACCCUGUGAAAUGUUCCCAUAAAGAAGCAAGCUACACAGUGACUGCUCCCCUGAGUAAUCACCAGAGGCUGCUAUCAGCAAUGUAAUCAGCAAUAGCUGCUAUCGCAGGGCACUGAAGAGCUUAACUUGAAACUAAGACCUCAACACAAGCCAAGAAACUGUUGUGAUGAGUGACUAAGGACUAAUCAUGUCCACUACAUCGUGAGAGUACCUGAAAUGUAAACAGAGGAGCCACCAUAAGGUGGUAUGAGACACAGGUCUAUAGGAAAAUAAGCUUCACUGAUUCUCCUGCAUGAAAGGCAGCCUCUUCAAUAUGGACAAGGUUUUUAGACACUGCUUUUAUGCUAUUAAAGGCACAAGGUCAAUCAGUAAAAACUUUAACCAAAGCAAAGUUAUAUUUAAAGACUUUCUUUAUUCCAUUAUAUCUCUGUCCUGCAGUAGCUUUUGAAGAUGCAGUAUCCUGUGAAUGAGGCUGGAUAUAAUUCCAGACACAGCAUGGAGAAUAAAGCAUUUAGGGUCAACACAGCAUUUACUUCAUGGUUCUCCAGCCCUGAGCAGUGACAGGUGCUGGGCCGCCACAGUGGUACAGAACUCACCUCUUGAGACUCAAACGCAUUUGACAGACAUAUCUUCCAUCUUCUAUAGGUUUCACUUUGUCUACAAACACAGAUUAGUGUUUGCAGAAACUAACCACAGGUUAGAUUAGUGCAUUGCUCCCAUGGGAUGCAGACUGUAGGGUUUAGGCAAUGCUCUGUGGCUAACAAGAGCUAGCAAGUUAUAACUGAGUCAUUCCCCUGGGUGAAACAUGCCCUGCUCUGAUGAUGACAGGAGCAGCUGAGCAUCCUCCCAGAAGAUGCCAAGCAUCCACACAUGGGCAGUGUCUUCCAUCACGAUUAACCACGCAUUACUUGCAGUGGAAGAGCCACCAAGGCUAUCAGUUUUGCAUUUAUUCUUGUCAUGAUAUCAGGCUGCUAACAAGAUUAGAAAGAAAACACUUAGUGUAGCCUUUUGGUAGUGGGACAAGAUUUAUAUUCUUAGCAUAAGCUGCUUUGGAAAAGCUUCUUUUACUGCGCAUUCAUCACUUGUUAGUGAUGUUUUAUUACAAUGAUAGCUAUCUCAAGAAGCUGUUUUAAGGUCCCUACCUGUU